rnacentral:lncRNA from 1 species
CCACCACAAACAGCUAACAGCUUAUGAUUAUUAUAUACGAACAUUGUCUGCCACUGUUUCAUCUUUCCUAAAGCAAACGAACUGGCAGUCUUCUUACAUUGCUUAUCAUGUCUAAAGCAAUCCUUGGCAGUUAAAAGAGAGACUCCGUGCAAGAAUUUGAUUUGUCUCCCUUCCUCCUCCUAUCGAAACACUCGUCUCAGAUAGCUUUGGUCGGGCAUUUGAUUUGUCUCCCUUCCACUUUAGAUCGUGUGUCAGUCAGCUCUGGUGGCUCUUUCUGCUUUGACAUUUGAAUUGUCUCCCUUUGUUUUCGAAACACUCGACCCAUAUAGGUUUGGUGGUGUAAUCGUCAUGUCGGGUUCUUGCAGUUACAAGUGGCUAAUCUUGUGCUUUCUUGCACUCAUUUUCAUAUCAGAAGCAUCAAGAGUGCCUAAGGUACAUUGGGACCAAAUGCUGCCUAAAAAGCUACCUUCUCCGUCUUCAGUUCCUUCCAAAGGCACAAAUUCUGUCACUACAUCUUCUAUGGCUGUAGAAAAGGAGAGACAUCUCCCUUCAUCAGAUGGAAACGUUUAGCCAGAUUCGAGUAGGUAGCUCAAUCAAUGUCUUGAACAACUUAUGGAUGGACUGCAAAUAAUACAAUGCAACGAGUUCUGCAGGACGAAAAUAGUCAGUUGUGGACAGUUUGAAGAUACACCGCAGAUAUACAUAAUCAGAAGAAAGAGGAUCUGAUUUAUGAUCCAACAGCUGGCAUUCAAAUGCAAAGAUAUAUGAAAUGUUAAGCCCUUCGUUGACAGGGAGAUAUGUCUAGUUUGUAUGUAGACUACAUCUAAUUCUUAGGAUAACUUAAUGAUUUCAAUAUAAUUUUUUAGUACAAACUCAGGUGAGUCUUAAUUUUUCUCCUCAUAGAAUGAAUAAAACUCGUGUACUCAUUAAUGUCCGAUUCUUGACAUUUACGACAUGUUUUAUAUGAUGAACAGG